GGUGGUUCUGUAUCAUUAGAAGUAGUGCUUGACCUCCCUUGAGCCACAUUAGAACUCCCCCACUACCCACACGAAAUUUGUUAUACUGCUCAAUCAAGCGGCUUAACAAGAGUUUAACCUUGGCCUCUAUUCUAUCCGCCAACUCAUCCCCUUUGCACUGAUUCAACCAAAAUUUCAUUGCUAUCAUUUUAUAUCGUGGAUCAAGCACAAAAGCAACAUAUAUCAUCAAGU